rnacentral:rRNA from 1 species
GACGAACGCUGGCGGCGUGCUUAACACAUGCAAGUCGAACGAAGCAAUUGAAGAGUUUACUUGGAGAUUGACUGAGUGGCGGACGGGUGAGUAACGCGUGAACAAUCUACCUAUCAGAGGGGGACAACACUUAGAAAUAGGUGCUAAUACCGCAUGAGACCACAGUGCCGCAUGGCAUAGGGGUAAACGAUUUAUCGCUGAGAGAUGAGUUCGCGUAUCAUUAGCUAGUUGGCGGGGUAAAGGCCCACCAAGGCGACGAUAAUUAGCCGGCCUGAGAGGGUGAACGGCCACACUGGAGCUGAGACACGGUCCAGACUCCUACGGGAGGCAGCAGUGGGGAAUAUUGGGCAAUGGGCGCAAGCCUGACCCAGCAACGCCGCGUGAGGGAAGAAGGUUUUCGGAUUGUAAACCUCUGUCCUUGGGGACGAAAAAAAUGACGGUACCCAAGGAGGAAGCUCCGGCUAACUACGUGCCAGCAGCCGCCGUAACAC